CCCCUAGUAACUGCGAGUGAAGCGGGAAAAGCUCAAAUUUGAAAUCUGGCGGUUUUUGACCGUCCGAGUUGUAAUCUAGAGAAGUGUUACCUGUGCUGGACCGUGUAAAAGUCUCCUGGAAUGGAGCAUCAUAGAGGGUGAGAAUCCCGUCUUUGACAUGGACGACCAGUGCGUUGUGGUGCGCUCUCAAAGAGUCGAGUUGUUUGGGAAUGCAGCUCAAAAUGGGUGGUAAAUGCCAUCUAAAGCUAAAUAUUGGCGAGAGACCGAUAGCGAACAAGUACCGUGAGGGAAAGAUGAAAAGCACUUUGGAAAGAGAGUUAAACAGUACGUGAAAUUGCUGAAAGGGAAACGCUUGAAGUCAGUCACGUCGGCUAGAAAUCAGCCUUGCUUCUGCUCGGUGUACUUUCUGGUUGAUGGGUCAGCAUCAAUUUCGACCGCUGGAUAAAGUCUUUGGGAAUGUGGCAUCCUCGGAUGUGUUAUAGCCCAUCGUCGCAUGCAGUGGUUGGGAUUGAGGAACUCAGCACGCCGCAAGGCCGGGUUUCGACCACGUUCGUGCUUAGGAUGCUGGCAUAAUGGCUUUAAUCGACCCGUCUUGAAACACGGACCAAGGAGUCUAACAUGCCUGCGAGUGUUUGGGUGG
rnacentral:rRNA from 1 species